rnacentral:ncRNA from 1 species
ACAGAAGAAGCUGAAAAUCUAUAACAGAGUAGGCA